CACGUGAUCCUCGCGGCCAGGGCGCGGUAGCAGCUGCAAGCCUGGUGGAGUCCCCGGCGCAGUCCCGGGCCGCGAGCAGCCCGACGCUACCCGGCUGGUCGCCCAGUGCGCGCACCAUGGCGAUGCAUUUCAUCUUUUCAGAUGAGGCCGUGCUUCUCUUUGAUUUCUGGAGAGUCCACAGUCCAACAGGCAUGGCCUUCUCGGUGCUGGUCGUCUUGCUCCUGGCUGUAUUGUAUGAAAGCAUCAAGGUUGGCAAAGCCAAGUUGCUCCACAAGACCCUGGAGAGCCUGCCUACUAUCAACAACCAGCAGCUCAUCCUAGAACCAGACCAGGAUUCUACUGGCUCUGAAUCAACUCCAGCCAAUAGAACCCGUCUCAGCUGCAGAGUCACCAUCUGUUCAAAAGCCAAGGAGGAGAUGAGCACGGAAAGGAAGACAGCAUGCACUGAUAGGUCCUCUGUCCUCAGAAGCACAGCUGCCACCUAAUUCUAAUGACUGUGCUCCUCGCUGCGGGAAGAGGCUGGCCACAUCCAUCCAGGCACAUGUCAUUUCCGGGGUCCCCAUCACUAAUAAUUGGUCUUGAGUAACUUUUUAAGUAUGAGUGCUUAGAAGCUGCUUGGUCUGUGGAUACUCGAGCCUUUUUCAAGAGCUGCCGAAGUCUGUCCAGUUCCUCCUGGUGUGACCUGCGAAUCUCAUCCAUCUCCUCCUCGGCCUGACAGCGCUCCUGAGCUGAUUUCCUUUUCCUUUCUGAGAGGUUCUUAGGAACAAGAGAGCCACCCUCAGCACUAGCUCAACAGUGUAGACGGGUAGCAGUAAUGACCUCAGGGGAUCAUUUCUAGGAAUUCCUUUUUAAUCCCCCCUCCCCAUACACACACCUUUAUUUCCUACAUCCCUGCUACUGAGAUCAACUAUGACAGGGAAAAGAGCGGAUAACAGAUUAACUCCUAAGAGCCUCAGACAGCAUAAUGUUAGUGUGGUACAAGACGUACAGAUGUGUGUACAUUCACAUCUGGCUGGCUUUGAGAAAAUAAAUGAACACAGUCUCUUUGGAUGGUAAUCCUAUGAAAUGCUUUUUAAAAUGCAUACAUCCAGAAAUUUUAUAAAUUGUAAUUUAUCAUAAGUCAUAAUGUGAAAUAUGUAAGGAUAGUUACUAUGACAGUGUCUGAGAUAAGGAAAAACUGAAAAUGGCUCCAAAUCCGGAAUUGCUUUUAAAAGUACAAGGAAAAAAAGAAAUAAAAGGGGAACUGGGAAGAUGGCUCAAUUGGUAAAUCACUUGCCACACAAAUAAUAAGGACCUGAGUUCAGACCUUCAGAACCCAUAAAAAGGAGACUUGGUCUCAGCACUACUACGGCAAGAGGGGACACUGGUCAGCAAGGGAACAAGUCAGUGACUCCAGCAAGCCGGAAGGCAAGGACUGACACAUAAGGUUAUCCUCUGACUUUCACAUGUACGCAUGCUUUUGUUCUCAUGAUCUCUCCCUACUUUAACAGGCACAGGCACAUGUGCGAGCACACACACACACACACACACACAUACUUUAAGUGAUAAAAUCAUAGAAGAAACCAUAAACACAGAUCAAGAUUGCCUCCUGAAAAGGUAGUAGGCAAGAAUAACUUUGAUAGAGGUUUACUGAAACCUAAGUAACAGUUUGUUCUUUUCAUAUUAAACUGUUCGAGAACAAAGAAAAAGAUAGCAACGUUCCUGCUUUGUCCAAUGGGGUGAUUACCCUGAUAUAAAAAUUUAAAUAAUGUAUGACUCAGAAAUAGCAGGCUAGGGGAAGUGAGCUAAAGAGACAGCUCAGCAGUUAAGAGAGCUUGCUGUUCUUUCAGAGGACCAGAUUUGGGGUUCCAGCACCCAUGUUGGGUGGCUUACAACCACUUGUAACUCCAGCUCCAAGGUAUCUGACACCCUCUUUUGAUUUCCUAGAGCACCCACACAUACACACACCCACACACAAAGUAAUAAAAAACGAGGGGGUUUUGAUUGUUUGUUUCAGACGGGGUUUUAACUAAGCAUCUUUGGCUGACCUAGAGCUCAUUAUGUAGAAGAGGCUGUUCUUCUUAAAUUCAUACAGAUUCACCUGUUUCUGCCUCCUGAGGGCUGGGAUUAAAGGCAUGCACUAUCACACAUAGCCUGUUUGUUUGUUUGUUGAGACAGCUCUCAUUAUGCUGGCCUAAAAUUCAUUAUGUAAGACCAAGCUGGCCUCAUACUCACAGAGAUCCACCUGCCUCUUCCUGCCUCCAGAGUCCUGGGAUUAAUGGCAUGUCAUCACAGUAAGUCUUAAAAAAUGAGAAUAAUUUUUUAAAAAAUAACUUUUUAAAAGAUGGAAAAUAUUAGCAAUGUUUAUGGCUGAAAAGGGAUUAGCACUCUUAAUAUUUCUGUAGGAAAGAGGAUAAAGGACUCCAAAAGAGAAUUCACAGGAGAAACAGAAAUAGGUAUGAAAUGUAUGAAAACUUUUGUUACUAAUAAAAAUACUUAGCUGUUGGGCAUGGUGGCACAGACCUUUAAUCUAAGCACUCAGGAGGCAGAGGCAGCAGGUGGAGGCUAACUUGGUCUACCACAGCUCCAGGACAGCUAGGACUACAUAGAAAGACCCUGUCUAAAAAACCCAAAUCAACCAACCAAACAAACAAACAGCUGUUCAGUCUGAGGAGAUCCUCAGCAGUUUGAAAUGGGAAACUGAAAACCUAAAUAUCCAUUGAUUCAGCACAGGACAGCUGCGCAGCAGGCUAACACUCAGCCACUGCUAAGAAGUAGUGAGUGUUGUCUUGUCAACACUUUGAAAAGUGCGACAUACAAGCCCAACGUCGUUUAGAAAGGUUAUCAGCACAUGUUUGUGUACAGGAUAUGCAAUAUUUUACGCAUACAGAGAGCAACCUGGAAGAUUCAUGUGUUGUUUGUAGUUGAUAUUUAUAACCCAUACAAUUAAAGAAGCAACUAAAGACAAUUUUUAACUUUAUACUUUUCUGUAUUGCUUGCACCUUCUUAAUACAUUCAUACUAUUAAAAUUUUUUACUGUCAAACAAAA